CUACACCCACUCAACUAAAGAUGGACUAAACAAGGAACGGUAGGACUAGACACAUCGCAAUUCGUAAACUUACCUCGUGUAUAUCCGUAGGGGGCCAAGUAAAAUCUCAGUGAACCAACAAACUACGCAAGCACGAGCAGCCGCCCUGCCACGUUCCGCGUUGAGGCUGCGCCAAGGAGCGGCCAACCUGCCGUAAGUCCGCGUUGGGGCCGCGCGUGACUCAUGACGGAACCGAUAUUGGAGGGAGCUUUAAGUCAAGUAUACUUUCUUUUCUUUCCGUAUGUCAUGGACCGUAACUGUAACCCUCGUACCCGAUGACGAGCGUGGAGAUGGAUGUCCAUGAAAUUAACAUUCACGUACGAAUGUCUCAAGAUAGUACGUGUUAGUACAUACAUGUGGCCAGAUAGGUCUUCUAAUCCAGUGCCGGGAGAGACGGGCCCGGCGGCCGAGGGGCCUCCCGGCGUAGGCCGGACGGCGUUCAUGUGG
rnacentral:rRNA from 1 species